AUGAGGAGCACCCUGGGGAGCAGCACCAGCAGGGCUUUACCUGGAGCAGGUGUCCGCACCAGCGGGGCUUUACCUGGAGCAGGUGUCCGCACCAGCAGGGCUUUACCUGGAGCAGGUGUCUGCACCAGCAGGGCUUUACCUGGAGCAGGUGUCUGCACCAGCAGGGCUUUACCUGGAGCAGGUGUCCGCACCAGCGGGGCUUUACCUGGAGCAGGUGUCCGCACCAGCAGGGCUUUACCUGGAGCAGGUGUCCGCACCAGCGGGGCUUUACCUGGAGCAGGUGUCCGCACCAGCAGGGCUUUACCUGGAGCAGGUGUCUGCACCAGCAGGGUUUUACCUGGAGCAGGUGUCCGCACCAGCGGGGCUUUACCUGGAGCAGGUGUCUGCACCAGCAGGGCUUUACCUGGAGCAGGGCUUUACCUGGAGCAGGUGUCAGCACCAGCAGGGCUUUACCUGGAGCAGGGCUUUACCUGGAGCAGGUGUCUGCACCAGCGGGGCUUUACCUGGAGCAGGUGUCAGCACCAGCGGGGCUUUACCUGGAGCAGGUGUCUGCACCAGCAGGGCUUUACCUGGAGCAGGGCUUUACCUGGAGCAGGUGUCUGCACCAGCAGGGCUUUACCUGGAGCAGGUGUCUGCACAGCUCAUCCUUGACCAGCACCAGCAGCGACGCACAGUUGGCGAUGUGUCCCGACUCCAGUGCAACCGUUAAAAGCUGCAGGCCCAUGUGCAUCAUGGCGUCGUUGUUGUGGCGAUCGUGGGGAUUGGUGAGAGAAAUCAGGAAGCGGAAAAGCUCUCUGAGACAGGGAAGUCCAUAGGGAAGGAGGGAGGAGCCUGGAAGGGAGCAAGGACACAUGUUAGGGUUAGGGUUAGCCCCCCAGGCUACACACACAAGCGUUGUGUGCAUACACUCUGUGAGAUCAGGGUGUUACCGUCUCUCUGUGUGGACUGGGUGAACCGGACUCCGCGGGGGUUCACAUAGUCCAUGUCAUGGACCGAGCUACUGUCCACCUGCUCUCUCAGAGAGUCUUUGUCUUCCAGAACCUCUGGGAUGGACUCCACCGAAGCUGAAGCUGACGGAACACGCCGGCCCUCAGACUAGAGCGAAAUCAGGGAGAGAAGAGAGCUGGCAGUGGGAGGAAGGGGCAGGAGGUUCUGAUUGGUGUGUGAGUCCAGAGGGUACCUGUGCGCCUGGAGAGCCAGGCUCCGUCCCAGGAAGAGGAGCAGCUCUGUUGGGGCUGACUGCAGAGGAACCACACUGGUCCAGGUCAGAGAGGUCUUCCCUGGAGGUGGCUUUGGAACCUGUUUCCAGGCCACUGUCCGUAGUUGUAGGACUAGAAAUGGAUGAGCCAGCACUUUGUGAAGGAGGUAGGCUGGGGGUGGCCGAGCCGUGCUCAAUGAAGGGGACCCCUCCUACGUGGGGAGAAGCACAGCCGUUGGACACCAGGCAGCAAAAGCCCCGGUGGUUUGAGAGGGGGCUCGUUACCCGACAGGUUGUUGUUGCUGAGGGUGCUGGACUGUGCUGCCUCCAUCUGACCAGAGGGACUUCGCACCAAAUGCCGCGGCGGCCUGGGGGAGCGUUUCUGCUUCUUCCACUUAGACGACUCGCUCAUCCCACCGGCUCGCAUCUUUAACUGGCACACAAGAGCAGAGGAAGAAGGUGAACGGAGCUGUUGAAGACACAACCAUGCUAGAACAUCAUCCAACAACUGCUGAUGUGACAACAGAACUGCACCCUUUAGAGUCGCUACAGGCAACGCCAAGAGUUAGCUCUGCAGGCUCCAGCUAGCAGCUAGCAUUUUCCUUCUGAAGGAUGGUGUCAAACAGGGCAGCAGGAAGUCAUAAGCUAGCAUGAGUGAAGCCAGUGAGCGACCCCACUGCCAUUGGAGCAGCAUUAGAGCUUUCUUGUGCCCACAUUCUUCUGCCUGGAUGUGUGAGCAGGCUGUCCUCGUGUCCUUUGUCCCUCUGUUUGACUAGUGCACUCAGCUAUUUCCAUCUGUUCUGUCAUAUCUGGCAGCGGGACACCUGCCAGAUCAAGAGCUACGUUAUCUCUGAAUUCUACACCCUAUUAUGCAAAAGCUGUGAGGCAAGUGCCCCGGGUUGGUGCCAUAAAGCAGGGGCAGGCCCACGCUGAGUCCGGCCCGGUUCUGACAGGCUUCAGGAGGUCCAGAUGGAGUCCCACACAGGCCAGCGUGGCUCCUGCUGAUGGUGGGUAGAGACUAAGGAGCUAGGAGAGAGGGGGAACACACAGCCAUCGUCCUUACCUGCACUCGUUUGUUUUUCCAUAAGAUAUUGGAGGCCUCAGAAGAGAAGGGUGGGCAGAUACCCGGGAUUAGUGAGGGACACAUGUCAGCAGAGAGUCCAGCAAAGCAAGCUCAAAUGCACACGCACGUGCACAAGCAGGAAGGGCUCCAUCCACACCACAUGCAGCUAGCUGAGGAGCAGGGAGACCCGAAGCAUGCAGGAGUCCAAAAGCACCGGGAACACAGUCCAACACGUGGAAAGGUUCCAACCAGGAUGAGCAGAACACAGUGGAGGACUCACAAGAACACACGCUGCAGAACCUGCUGUCAGCCAAGAGAUUCAUGCUCACGUCCAGCUUUAAACAUCAAAAUGGGCUUCUCAGGACCCUCAACUGGUCUUUACAGGAGACAUCCUCACUUCUACUCAGCCUGGCCCAAAAGUCUCCACCUGAGAGAAGCUAGCUCCCAGUGGGGGGGGGGAGAAGAUGGUGGUGCUUAUGGGGAGAGGCCCAUCAUUGUCCUGCAUCCAGCAGGAGAAACAUCUCCUAAAACUGUACAGAACUGUCCAAAUGUCCAUUAUUCAAAGGUGGGAGGACAGUGGGGAACCAGCCCUGAAUGAAGGUCUGGUGCACUCAGAGGGUAGAAGAGCACCAGUGGAGCUCAGGACUGUGGUGAAUAGUGAGAGUUGGAACAUCUCCACAUGCACAAUGUGGAGGGACUGAAGAGCUGUGGAGCCUUCAGAGAAGCAGUGAUCAGGGAGGCUGAUCAGGGGUCUGCUGGGGGGCAUAAAGGCUCUGGAGCAUGGAAGAAGGUCACGGGGUCUGAUGGGUCCAGAGUGACCCGGGUCCAGAGUGACCCUGUUCCAGAGUGACCCAGGUCCAGAGUGAGGGGUAGGAAGAGAGGCCGAUGAACCCAUGCUCCCAUCAUGGUGUCUACUGGACCAGCCUGGGGGGCAGAGCUCUGAUCUGGGGCUGCUGCAGGUCCUCAGGUCCAGGUUCAGCAACAUUCUCUUCCCUGAUGAUGUGGGCAUAUUCCAAGAUGAGACUUCCAGGAUUCCUGGGGCUCAGAUAGUGAGAGGUUUGAUGAGACAUCAUUUCACACAUGGACGGGCCCCCAGAGUCCAGACCUCACCCCCCCUGAGAAGCUUUGGGACGUGCUGGAGAAGGUCUGACUCUGCCAUCAUCACUACAGGGAGGGAGAUGAAUGAUGGGAAGAACAGUGUGACCUUCAGAAGCUGGAGGGGGUGUGUCCUGACCGCAGCUGAGCAGGCUCCGCCCACAUUAGGAGUGUGUGACCUUUGGUUGGUGGCCACCUUCUACUUUGGCUGAGAAGCUUCACUCACAAUUACACAUUUUAGCAUUUCAUUCUUCUGAGGUGUGUAGAAAUAAGACUGGGAGAGAAGAAACCUGACAUGGAUGGAGAUGCUAAGCUAGCAGCACUGCUGGAAAUGCUCAUCCUGGACUGGACAAGAACUGCUCCACAAAUCUUCUGGUUGUCAUUGCUGAUGAGGAGCAACAAGCCAGAACACAUGAAGAAGAUGUUUGAUAUGGAGCCUGUGGAGAAGGUUGGACUCCAGCGGGGCCAACAGCACCAUCAUCAACAUCACAAGAGACUCGGACAGUCGUCGCUUUCUCAGGUGACCAAAGAGAAGCUGAAAGGUGACGGAGGACAUGAAAGCAUGAGCCGUCAACCCUGGUUACAUCAGAGGAACCUGAAGAAAGCCCACCCUGGGAGAGGUUAUCUUCACCAGAGUGCUACACGUCUGUUCACGCUGGCGUUACCCUCAGAUAGGAGAAGAGACACAGGUGAACGCAUGCAAACCGUGAUGGACGCCACAUCCAACAGGGAGCCACCAGAACGGAACAGGUUGGAGCAUUCAUGGCCUCUUACCUUCUUCAUGUUGGCCCCCACAGAACUCUUGGCCUCCUCUUUGAACUGUGGUAAUCUAAAAGACAAAGGAAGUUAAAACAGUAAUUAAUAAUUAACGCUAACCGGUUGGCUAACCGUAACCGGUUGGCUAACCCUAACCCUAACCGGUUGGCUAACCCUAACCGGUCGGCUAACCCUAACCCUAACCGGUUGGCUAACCCUAACCCUAACCGGUUGGCUAACCGUAACCGGUUGGCUAACCCUAACCCUAACCGGUUGGCUAACCCUAACCCUAACCAGUUGGCUAACCCUAACCCUAACCGGUUGGCUAACCCUAACCGGUUGGCUAACCCUAACCGGUUGGCUAACCCUAACCCUAACCGGUUGGCUAACCGUAACCGGUUGGCUAACCCUAACCCUAACCGGUUGGCUAACCCUAACCCUAACCGGUUGGCUAACCCUAACCCUAACUGAUUGGCUAACCCUAACCAGUUGGCUAACCCUAACCCUAACCGGUUGGCUAACCGUAACCGGUUGGCUAACCCUAACCCUAACCGGUUGGCUAACCCUAACCGGUCGGCUAACCCUAACCGGUUGGCUAACCCUAACCCUAACCGGUUU
ensembl:lncRNA